GCCGCGUGAGUGAUGAAGGUUUUCGGAUCGUAAAGCUCUGUUGUUAGGGAAGAACAAGUACCGUUCGAAUAGGGCGGUACCUUGACGGUACCUAACCAGAAAGCCACGGCUAACUACGUGCCAGCAGCCGCGGUAAUACGUAGGUGGCAAGCGUUGUCCGGAAUUAUUGGGCGUAAAGGGCUCGCAGGCGGUUUCUUAAGUCUGAUGUGAAAGCCCCCGGCUCAACCGGGGAGGGUCAUUGGAAACUGGGGAACUUUGAGUGCAGAAGAGGAGAGUGGAAUUCCACGUGUAGCGGUGAAAUGCGUAGAGAUGUGGAGGAACACCAGUGGCGAAGGCGACUCUCUGGUCUGUAACUGACGCUGAGGAGCGAAAGCGUGGGGAGCGAACAGGAUUAGAUACCCUGGUAGUCCACGCCGUAAACGAUGAGUGCUAAGUGUUAGGGGGUUUCCGCCCCUUAGUGCUGCAGCUAACGCAUUAAGACACUC
rnacentral:rRNA from 1 species